GUGCUCACUUUGGCAGCACAUAUACUAAAAUUGGAAUGACACAGAGAAGAUUAGCAUGCCCCUGUACAGGGAUGACACAAAAAUUCAUGAAAAGUUCCAUAUCUUU
rnacentral:snRNA from 1 species